UACAGAGGGGGCAAGCGUUGUUCGGAAUUACUGGGCGUAAAGGGCGCGUAGGCGGCCUUUUAAGUCGGACGUGAAAUCCCCGGGCUCAACCCGGGAACUGCGUCCGAUACUGGACGGCUUGAGUAUGGGAGAGGAACGUAGAAUUCCAGGUGUAGCGGUGAAAUGCGUAGAUAUCUGGAGGAAUACCGGUGGCGAAGGCGGCGUUCUGGACCAUUACUGACACUGAAUCGCGAAAGCUAGGGGAGCAAACGGG
rnacentral:rRNA from 1 species